AGAGUUUGAUCAUGGCUCAGAUUGAACGCUGGCGGCAGGCCUAACACAUGCAAGUCGAGCGGAUGAAGAGAGCUUGCUCUCUGAUUUAGCGGCGGACGGGUGAGUAAUGCCUAGGAAUCUGCCUGGUAGUGGGGGAUAACGUCCGGAAACGGGCGCUAAUACCGCAUACGUCCUACGGGAGAAAGCAGGGGACCUUCGGGCCUUGCGCUAUCAGAUGAGCCUAGGUCGGAUUAGCUAGUUGGUGAGGUAAUGGCUCACCAAGGCGACGAUCCGUAACUGGUCUGAGAGGAUGAUCAGUCACACUGGAACUGAGACACGGUCCAGACUCCUACGGGAGGCAGCAGUGGGGAAUAUUGGACAAUGGGCGAAAGCCUGAUCCAGCCAUGCCGCGUGUGUGAAGAAGGUCUUCGGAUUGUAAAGCACUUUAAGUUGGGAGGAAGGGUUGUAGAUUAAUACUCUGCAAUUUUGACGUUACCGACAGAAUAAGCACCGGCUAACUUCGUGCCAGCCGCCGCGGUAAUUC
rnacentral:rRNA from 1 species